GAUGAACGCUGUCGGCGUGCCUAAUACAUGCAAGUCGAGCGAACGGACGAGAAGCUUGCUUCUCUGAUGUUAGCGGCGGACGGGUGAGUAACACGUGGAUAACCUACCUAUAAGACUGGGAUAACUUCGGGAAACCGGAGCUAAUACCGGAUAAUAUUUUGAACCGCAUGGUUCAAAAGUGAAAGACGGUCUUGCUGUCACUUAUAGAUGGAUCCGCGCUGCAUUAGCUAGUUGGUAAGGUAACGGCUUACCAAGGCAACGAUGCAUAGCCGACCUGAGAGGGUGAUCGGCCACACUGGAACUGAGACACGGUCCAGACUCCUACGGGAGGCAGCAGUAGGGAAUCUUCCGCAAUGGGCGAAAGCCUGACGGAGCAACGCCGCGUGAGUGACGAAGGUCUUCGGAUCGUAAAACUCUGUUAUUAGGGAAGAACAUAUGUGUAAGUAACUGUGCACAUCUUGACGGUACCUAAUCAGAAAGCCACGGCUAACUACGUG
rnacentral:rRNA from 1 species